UUCAACUACCAGCCCAAGGAGUUCAUCCUGGAUCCGCGGUUCAGCGGCCCGGAGGAGUACAUCAUGUCCACGCAGACCCCGGAGCCGCCCCCCACGCCGGUGGCGCUCGCCCUCUCCCCGGCGCUCUGGCAGCUCAACCUCCCGGAUAGGUUCGACUCGUAUUCCGCGGGCGUGACGCUGCUGCAGAUGUGCCUGCCCACGCUCCGCAGCGACAACAACCUCAUCGCCUUCAGGAAAAAGCUCGAGGAGAACGGCGAGAGCCUCAGUCAGUGGCGUCAGGAGCUCCCACCGCGGUGGUUCAGCGGUGCGGACGGCGAGGGCUUUGACGUCUUGGACCAGGACGACCGGGCCGGCU
rnacentral:lncRNA from 1 species